rnacentral:rRNA from 1 species
CACGUAGGAGGCGAGCGUUGUCCGGAAUCAUUGGGCGUAAAGAGCGCGCAGGCGGCUUGGCAAGUCGGGUGUGAAAUCCCGGGGCUCAACCCCGUGACUGCAUCCGAUACUGUCAGGCUAGAGGUAGGUAGGGGAGAUCGGAAUUCCUGGUGUAGCGGUGAAAUGCGUUGAUAUCCACAGGAACUCCGGUGGCGAAGGCGGCACGCUGGACCCCCACUGACGCUGAGGCGCGAAAGCCAGGGGAGCGAACGGG